rnacentral:rRNA from 1 species
CCUACGGGGGGCUGCAGUGGGGAAUAUUGGACAAUGGGGGGAACCCUGAUCCAGCCAUGCCGCGUGUGUGAAGAAGGCCCUCGGGUUGUAAAGCACUUUCAGUGAGGAAGAACGCCUGGUGGUUAAUACCCAUCAGGAAAGACAUCACUCACAGAAGAAGCACCGGCUAACUCCGUGCCAGCAGCCGCGGUAAUACGGAGGGUGCGAGUGUUAAUCGGAAUUACUGGGCGUAAAGCGCGCGUAGGUGGCUUGAUAAGCCGGUUGUGAAAGCCCCGGGCUCAACCUGGGAACGGCAUCCGGAACUGUCAAGCUAGAGUGCAGGAGAGGAAGGUAGAAUUCCCGGUGUAGCGGUGAAAUGCGUAGAGAUCGGGAGGAAUACCAGUGGCGAAGGCGGCCUUCUGGACUGACACUGACACUGAGGUGCGAAAGCGUGGGUAGCAAACAGGAUUAGAUACCCGGGUAGUC